rnacentral:rRNA from 1 species
UACAGAGGUCUCAAGCGUUGUUCGGAUUCAUUGGGCGUAAAGGGUGCGUAGGCGGCGCGGUAAGUCGGGUGUGAAAUCUUGGAGCUUAACUCCGAAACUGCAUUCGAUACUGCCGUGCUUGAGGACUGGAGAGGAGACUGGAAUUUACGGUGUAGCGGUGAAAUGCGUAGAUAUCGUAAGGAAGACCAGUGGCGAAGGCGGGUCUCUGGACAGUUCCUGACGCUGAGGCACGAAGGCCAGGGGGAGCAAACGGGAUUAGAGUACCCC